UACGGGGGGGGCAAGCGUUGUUCGGAAUUACUGGGCGUAAAGGGUUCGUAGGUGGCCUGCUAAGUCAGACGUGAAAUCCCUCGGCUUAACCGGGGAACUGCGUCUGAGACUGGAAGGCUUGAGUGCAGGAGAGGAACGCGGAAUUCCAGGUGUAGCGGUGAAAUGCGUAGAUAUCUGGAGGAACACCGGUGGCGAAGGCGGCGUUCUGGACUGUUACUGACACUGAGGAACGAAAGCCAGGGGAGCAAACGGG
rnacentral:rRNA from 1 species